GUAUCUUUGGCUUCACAAUCCCAGAUCCUGAAGUUGGACUUAGAUGACAAUGCAGUCAAGGGGCCGAGGAACCGAUGGAAUGACCGUGUCCAAAGACAGCAGGUUGGCUGGGUCAGUACCAACCUAGAAUCCUGUUUGGUCAACCUUUUUCUCGCCGGGGAGAGCAUAGAUGGAUGGCUGACCAGUGGUGAAGGAAACACGGAGGGCCAGUCCAUGUGUUGGGCCACGAGACCCAACUGCUGCCGGGCCAGGCACCAGCUCAGACCAGAAAACAUGAGCCUCUGGGAGGCCUUGACCAAUUCACCAGCCAGACCUUCUUCCCCGGCACGUCACGUUUGGCACCCAGGGACUCCCAAGCCCGGUCAUCAUCUGGAAGUUGCAAUGAGUUUACCCCAAAGACCCAGGCUGGGCAAAGGGGGUUCUGUUCUACUGGUGCUGGUGACCGUUGGCCCUGCUGUGCAGAUUUCAUUUUUUAAGGAGAGAUUUUUAAGCUUUGUUUGCAUUCGUCUGGUGACAGAACUGAACUGAAGAGCUCCGUUGGGAUCAAUAAACAUGUAUCCGCCUGGCUUGCUAGCA
rnacentral:lncRNA from 12 species